rnacentral:rRNA from 1 species
ACGGGUGAGUAAUACAUCGGAACGUAUCCUGGAGUGGGGGAUAGCCCGGCGAAAGCCGGAUUAAUACCGCAUACGCUCUGAGGAGGAAAGCGGGGGACCUUCGGGCCUCGCGCUCAAGGGGCGGCCGAUGGCGGAUUAGGUAGUUGGUGGGGUAAAGGCCUACCAAGCCGACGAUCCGUAGCUGGUCUGAGAGGACGACCAGCCACACUGGGACUGAGACACGGCCCAGACUCCUACGGGAGGCAGCAGUGGGGAAUUUUGGACAAUGGGGGCAACCCUGAUCCAGCAAUGCCGCGUGUGUGAAGAAGGCCUUCGGGUUGUAAAGCACUUUUGUCCGGAAAGAAAUCAUCGGGGCCAAUACCCCUGGUGGAUGACGGUACCGGAAGAAUAAGCACCGGCUAACUACGUGCCAGCAGUCGCGGUAAUACGUAGGGUGCGAGCGUUAAUCGGAAUUACUGGGCGUAAAGCGUGCGCAGGCGGUGCUGUAAGACCGAUGUGAAAUCCCCGGGCUUAACCUGGGAACUGCAUUGGUGACUGCAGCGCUGGAGUAUGGCAGAGGGGGGUGGAAUUCCACGU